AAAGAAAUAAGCGAAAAAAGCAGCGCCAUUAGAUCCACUUUCAUUAAUUGACGUGGCACAAGGCACGGUUUAGAUCUGAUGACACACGCUACACUCAAGUCAAACGCGAAGCAUGGUGCAUUAAAACAAGUAAUUAAAACGGAUGAUCAAGAUUAGAUUGUGGGAGCAAGAUCCAAAGGCUCUGGUAACACACAUGGUGGUGGUGGUGGAAACCACCGUCUUCUC
rnacentral:lncRNA from 1 species